GAGCCGGAGCUCGAUCCGUGGGAGUGCCACCCCGCGCGUCCACUCUGCGUUUAGCUAAAAAACCUGGAUGUUCCUGCCUUUCGCUUUGGUCGACGCGACCGCUCGCACUAAUUUUGAACGAAAAUUCAAUCCAAGGAGCGGGAAGGGAGUGCUUUGGCCCACAAAAGAAAAGGAAGAAGAGAAAACGCAACCAAACCACAGCCAGGCCGCGCGGCUUCUCUCUCUGUCUUGCUCCUCUCUCAAUCCCCUCCAGAUCAGCCGCCACCGCCACCGCCGACCUCUGUCCUCUCCCCCAACCCCAGCUCCAACUCCGGCCUCCACUCCACCGCCGGUGAUCCAUCCGUUCCCCUCCUCUCGCUCGCCGUAGAUCCGCUCGAGCAGCGCAGCCCACGGUCAGAUCAGAUCCUCGCGCCCGGAACCCUAGCCCUCUGGCCAUGGCGACCGGCCGCAGCACAGGUUGGAGGUGCCACCAUGGAGUCCUCUGCCGGGGACGCCGCCCAAGUGCUCGUCAAGGCCCGCUGCUCCUUCUUCCUCCUUUUCCUCAAAUUCAAGGGCAAUCAGCAGCACACGCCAUCCUCAAGGCGCAUGGUUCUUCUCUUCUCUGAUGGAUGGAUGGAUGGGUGGAUGGGUUGGUCGUGGAGGAGAACGACCAGAAGAAUAGAGUCCCGUCUCUUCUCUUCUCUUCAUCAAUGCCGGCCAGGAACAACGACCCAGCCACCCCUCAAGGGAAGGUGUCUUUGUUUACUAGUACUUGAGAGGGAAUUGGAAGUAGUUUGUCAACUGAAGCUUGGUGCUGCUCGACACCAAGGAGAGGCGCAAGGGGGUGCCUAGCACCGGUGCCGAAGAAUGCCGGUGCUCCUCUUCGUCUUUGACCUGCUCUGCUCCUUCAAGGUGAUAGCCGAAUGGUAUACGCGUGAGAUUCUUCUUCCACUCAAACGCCUCACGCCCUGCCCCUCCAGUAGCUGAUUCUUCUUCGACUCUGUCACAUGUGGUGUUCGUCAUGCCAGGCUUCGCGGCGCUACUGCUUCCAUGUGACGGUGUUGUUUGGCAUUGGCUACAAAAACGGCCACGGAGAGCAUAUAUAUGUGAAGAAAAGAAAAGGCUGGGAGUCAUCGUUGUUACAAGAUGACGCUCAAGGGAAGAAAAUCUAUGCUGGAGAUGGGGGAGCAAGUUUGAUCUUGCAGAGGGUGAGAGGACGGACGGAUGGACCUUAUAGCGACUCUUGGUUGUAAUUGAGCUUGUUUUGUGUUCAACGCAGGCGCUGUUUGCUCCUCUCGAUUACCAUUCAGUUUCUGAAGAAGCACAAGACGCACGACGAGUCCAUGAAAAUUAGUAAUGGCCUGAGCUGUGCAAUCCAAGCUCAAAGCGACUUGAUCCAGUAGCUCCGCACUAGUAUACCGUGAUGUUUGCGGUCGUCUGCCAACAAGACUAGCGUAGCGCAAACUUGUGUGAUAAUUUGUUGGCCGUGUCUAUUGUUCUGCUGUACAUAAGUGAAUCUCAAGCGAGAGUGAUAUGAAAUCUGAAUAGGUUUGAAAGUUGCACCUGCAAA